rnacentral:rRNA from 5 species
UUAAAUUGAAGAGUUUGAUCAUGGCUCAGAUUGAACGCUGGCGGCAGGCCUAACACAUGCAAGUCGAACGGUAACAGGAAGCAGCUUGCUGCUUUGCUGACGAGUGGCGGACGGGUGAGUAAUGUCUGGGAAACUGCCUGAUGGAGGGGGAUAACUACUGGAAACGGUGGCUAAUACCGCAUAACGUCGCAAGACCAAAGAGGGGGACCUUCGGGCCUCUUGCCAUCAGAUGUGCCCAGAUGGGAUUAGCUUGUUGGUGAGGUAACGGCUCACCAAGGCGACGAUCCCUAGCUGGUCUGAGAGGAUGACCAGCCACACUGGAACUGAGACACGGUCCAGACUCCUACGGGAGGCAGCAGUGGGGAAUAUUGCACAAUGGGCGCAAGCCUGAUGCAGCCAUGCCGCGUGUAUGAAGAAGGCCUUCGGGUUGUAAAGUACUUUCAGCGGGGAGGAAGGUGUUGUGGUUAAUAACCGCAGCAAUUGACGUUACCCGCAGAAGAAGCACCGGCUAACUCCGUGCCAGCAGCCGCGGUAAUACGGAGGGUGCAAGCGUUAAUCGGAAUUACUGGGCGUAAAGCGCACGCAGGCGGUCUGUCAAGUCGGAUGUGAAAUCCCCGGGCUCAACCUGGGAACUGCAUUCGAAACUGGCAGGCUUGAGUCUUGUAGAGGGGGGUAGAAUUCCAGGUGUAGCGGUGAAAUGCGUAGAGAUCUGGAGGAAUACCGGUGGCGAAGGCGGCCCCCUGGACAAAGACUGACGCUCAGGUGCGAAAGCGUGGGGAGCAAACAGGAUUAGAUACCCUGGUAGUCCACGCCGUAAACGAUGUCUACUUGGAGGUUGUGCCCUUGAGGCGUGGCUUCCGGAGCUAACGCGUUAAGUAGACCGCCUGGGGAGUACGGCCGCAAGGUUAAAACUCAAAUGAAUUGACGGGGGCCCGCACAAGCGGUGGAGCAUGUGGUUUAAUUCGAUGCAACGCGAAGAACCUUACCUGGUCUUGACAUCCACAGAACUUUCCAGAGAUGGAUUGGUGCCUUCGGGAACUGUGAGACAGGUGCUGCAUGGCUGUCGUCAGCUCGUGUUGUGAAAUGUUGGGUUAAGUCCCGCAACGAGCGCAACCCUUAUCCUUUGUUGCCAGCGAUUAGGUCGGGAACUCAAAGGAGACUGCCAGUGAUAAACUGGAGGAAGGUGGGGAUGACGUCAAGUCAUCAUGGCCCUUACGACCAGGGCUACACACGUGCUACAAUGGCGCAUACAAAGAGAAGCGACCUCGCGAGAGCAAGCGGACCUCAUAAAGUGCGUCGUAGUCCGGAUUGGAGUCUGCAACUCGACUCCAUGAAGUCGGAAUCGCUAGUAAUCGUGGAUCAGAAUGCCACGGUGAAUACGUUCCCGGGCCUUGUACACACCGCCCGUCACACCAUGGGAGUGGGUUGCAAAAGAAGUAGGUAGCUUAACCUUCGGGAGGGCGCUUACCACUUUGUGAUUCAUGACUGGGGUGAAGUCGUAACAAGGUAACCGUAGGGGAACCUGCGGUUGGAUCACCUCCUUACCUGAAAGAA